rnacentral:rRNA from 1 species
CAGUCGCCGCGGUAAUACGAAGGGGGCUAGCGUUGUUCGGAUUUACUGGGCGUAAAGCUCACGUAGGCGGCUUCUUAAGUCGGAUGUGAAAUCCCUGAGCUUAACUUAGGAAUUGCAUUCGAUACUGGGAAGCUAGAGUAUGGGAGAGGAUGGUAGAAUUCCAGGUGUAGCGGUGAAAUGCGUAGAGAUCUGGAGGAAUACCGAUGGCGAAGGCAGCCAUCUGGCCUAAUACUGACGCUGAGGUACGAAAGCAUGGGGAGCAAACAGGAUUAGAUACCCGUGUAGUCCCUGUCUCUUAUAC